UACGUAGGUGGCAAGCGUUGUCCGGAUUUAUUGGGCGUAAAGCGAGCGCAGGCGGUUUCUUAAGUCUGAUGUGAAAGCCCCCGGCUUAACCGGGGAGGGUCAUUGGAAACUGAGAGACUUGAAUGCAGGAGAGGUAAGUGGAAUUCCACGUGUAGCGGUGAAAUGCGUAGAUAUGUGGAGGAACACCAGUGGCGAAGGCGGCUUACUGGCCUGUAAUUGACGCUGAGGCUCGAAAGCGUGGGGAGCAAAC
rnacentral:rRNA from 1 species